rnacentral:rRNA from 1 species
AGGACGAACGCUGGCGGCGUGCUUAACACAUGCAAGUCGAACGAUGAUGCUCGCAGCUUGCUGUGGGUGGAUUAGUGGCGAACGGGUGAGUAACACGUGAGUAACCUGCCUUUCACUCUGGGAUAAGCCUUGGAAACGGGGUCUAAUACUGGAUAUGACUUGCUGCCGCAUGGUGGUGGGUGGAAAGCCGUUCGGGUGGUGGAUGAUGGACUCGCGGACUAUCAGCUUGUUGGUGGGGUUGUGGCCUACCAAGGCGUUGACGGUU